rnacentral:rRNA from 1 species
CAGUGGGGAAUUUUCCGCAAUGGGCGAAAGCCUGACGGAGCAACGCCGCGUGAGGGAGGAAGGUCUUUGGAUUGUAAACCUCUUUUCUCAAGGAAGAAGUUCUGACGGUACUUGAGGAAUCAGCCUCGGCUAACUCCGUGCCAGCAGCCGCGGUAAUACGGGGGAGGCAAGCGUUAUCCGGAAUUAUUGGGCGUAAAGCGUCCGCAGGUGGUCAGCCAAGUCUGCUGUCAAAUCAGGUUGCUUAACGACCUAAAGGCGGUGGAAACUGGCAGACUAGAGAGCAGUAGGGGUAGCAGGAAUUCCCAGUGUAGCGGUGAAAUGCGUAGAGAUUGGGAAGAACAUCGGUGGCGAAAGCGUGCUACUGGGCUGUAUCUGACACUCAGGGACGAAAGCUAGGGGAGCGAAAGGGAUUAGAUACCCCGGUAGUC